UCCUGGGCCUCACGUCCAUGGGGGUCUUCUACCCCCAGGCCGACAGGUCCUGGAACUUAGCAUCAGAAAUAAAGCAGAGAACUUGCCCGAGACCAGCUUGGGGGUGCAGGGGCUGGCCCUCGGUUGGUACACAGGUAUGAACGCCCCACCUUCACUAAGUCAUUUAUAAACCAGCACCCGGGUUUCACAGAAGAGGAAACCAUGGGUGUGGAGAGGGACACAGAGGCUCUAAUGUCAAGCGGGAACCCAUGACAAGCAAUGACGCAAGGAGUUAAGGUCCUGCAGCAACAAGAUACUCCUGGGACCAGCCUCGGCUGAUACCCCAGCAGAAACAGAAGGGACAGGGCAGCUGCCACCGGACACUCUGCCGGACUGGUCCCCAAGAGGCGCAGAGAUUCUCCUGCGGUGGACCGUGCGCAGCAGAAUCGCCCAGAGCUGACCAAGGCGGACUGAGGCCUUAUCUCAAGCGCGCACCACGGACCCAUGGACCGACACCACGUUUGCUUUGCUCGCCGCCUGCUCCCUUCUGUCGUCUCGUUCCUGGUGUGGCCUGUCUUCUGUCCUGCCCUGGGUGCCGCGUAAGAAGCCACGUGUAAUCACAGGGGCACUUGCCACCGAGAGCCCGGGGAAUCCUGAACCUGCUUCCUAACUGUCACAACAAUCCCGAGGUCCCUUCACUAUGGCUGUAGAGGCGAGGAGAUCCCGCACUGGGGCUCAGUCCGUUCUGCGGGGUAUCCUGUCCUCCUGCGGGCCAGGACCACAGCUGCUUGAGCAAGCCAUCUAUGACGCGCUCCUCCCAGACGGCAGCUCCAACCUGGCUCUGUCUAUCCCCGUCCGAAAAGCACUACCAAGUCCUUACGGUACCCUAAACUGGGUUCGCCUUUUGUUGGCUGUCUUGAGCCAAAAGGCACAACCAAACCAGCCCAAGAACAGGACGAGGAAGGUGGUGCUUGGGGCAAGCGAAGAACACACCGGGGCUAUUUCCCCAAGCGCUAAGGGAGAGAGCGUAUUCGUGGUGGGCCUCGGGCAGCGGGACGGCAGCAUGGACUUGGGGCAAAGCCAUCUUAAGGGACAGAGUCCAGGUCCUGAGUGAUGGAAGCCAAGGGCUGCCCGGGGCGACAGCGUCAGUUCUCUGGGUCCGGUUGCUCUGGGGUCUGCGUGCUCUCGGGGUUGAGAUCCCGCAGUGGUAUCUCGAGAGUGUGUUGGACCAGAUGCCCGGAUGGCUCUGCAGGGGCAGCGUUCAACUCCCGAUCUCAGGGUUGUGAGUUCGAGCCCCAUCCUGGGUUCAGGGAUUCCUUAAAAAAAAAAAAAAUAUUUUUAAAAAUAAUAAUGUGUUGGGAGGUGUCUGGGUGGCUCAGCAGUUGAGCAUCUGCCUUUGGCUCAGGUCAUAAUCCUGGGGUCCUGGGAUCAGCCCUGCAUCAGGCUCCCUGCUCGGUGGGAAGCUUGCUUCUCCCUCUCCU